ACGGCUCAGUAACACGUGGGUGACCUGCCCUCGAGCGGGGGAUAACUGCCCGAAAGGGUGGCUAAUACCGCAGACCUCCGGGCUUCGGUGUUCGGAGUGAACCUUCGGGGUUCGAGGAGGGGCCCGCGGCCGAUUAGCUGGCUGGUGGGGUAACGGCCUACCAGGGCGACGAUCGGUAGCUGGUCUGAGAGGAUGAUCAGCCAGACUGGGACUGCGAACGGCCCAGACUCCUACGGGAGGCAGCAGUUAGGAAUUUUGGGCAAUGGGCGAAAGCCUGACCCAGCAACGCCGCGUGGGUGAUGAAGGCCCUCGGGUCGUAAAGCCCUUUUCCCAGGGAAGAUGAUGACGGUACCUGGGGAAUCAGCCCCGGCUAACUACGUGCCAGCAGCCGCGGUAAUACGUAGGGGGCAAGCGUUGUCCGGAUUUAUUGGGCGUAAAGCGCUCGCAGGUGGUCCGUCGCGUCGUGUGUGAAAGACCCCGGCUCAACUGGGGAGGGUCAUGCGAUACGGACGGACUGGAGGCCAGUAGGGGGAUGCGGAAUUCCGGGUGUAGUGGUGGAAUGCGUAGAGAUCCGGAGGAACACCAGCGGCGAAGGCGGCAUCCUGGACUGGUCCUGACACUCAGGAGCGAAAGCGUGGGGAGCGAUCCGGAUUAGAUACCCGGGUAGUCCACGCUGUAAACGAUGCGCACUAGGUGUCGGGGGUAUCGACCCCCUCGGUGCCGCAGCUAACGCGAUAAGUGCGCCGCCUGGGGACUACGGCCGCAAGGCUAAAACUCAAAGGAAUUGGCGGGGGAGCAC
rnacentral:rRNA from 1 species